rnacentral:rRNA from 1 species
AGAGUUUGAUCAUGGCUCAGGACGAACGCUGGCGGCGUGCUUAACACAUGCAAGUCAUGGGGGCCCGCAAGGGCAACCGGCGAACGGGUGCGUAACACGUGAGCAACCUACCGAUUUGUGGGGGAUAGCUGCCCUAACGGGCAGGUAAUACCGCAUAUGAUCAUCGGCCCGCAUGGGCCGAUGAUCAAACUCCUUAUACGAGGCAGAUCGAGGGGCUCGCGUCCUAUCAGCUAGUUGGCGAGGUCACGGCUCACCAAGGCGACGACGGGUAGCUGGUCUGAGAGGAUGGCCAGCCACAUUGGGACUGAGAAACGGCCCAGACUCCUACGGGAGGCAGCAGUCGAGAAUUUUUCUCAAUGGGCGCAAGCCUGAAGGAGCGACGCCGCGUGGGGGAUGAAGGGUUUCGAUCCGUAAACCCCUGUCAUUCGUGAACAAUGGUUACCGGUGAAUAGCCGGUGGCUUGAUAGUAACGGAAGAGGAAGGGACGGCUAACUCUGUGCUAGCAGCCGCGGUAAUAC